UACGUAGGGAGCAAGCGUUGUUCGGAUUUACUGGGCGUAAAGGGCGCGUAGGCGGCGUGUCAAGUCGAUUGUGAAAUCUCCGGGCUUAACUCGGAACGGCCAAUCGAUACUGACGUGCUAGGGUGCAGAAAGGGCAAUCGGAAUUCUUGGUGUAGCGGUGAAAUGCGUAGAUAUCAAGAGGAACACCUGAGGCGAAGGCGGGUUGCUAGGCUGACACUGACGCUGAGUGCGCGAAAGCCAGGGGAGCAAACGGG
rnacentral:rRNA from 1 species